rnacentral:lncRNA from 1 species
AUGCAUGUUAACAUUAGAAGCCUCCUCCCUAAGUUUGUUUUAUUCACUGCUUUAGCACAAUCUGCCAACCCGGAUGUUCUAGCCGUGUCUGAAUCCUGGCUUAGGAAGACCACCAAAAACUCUGAAAUCUCCAUCCCUAACUACAACAUUGUCAGACAAGAUAGAACAGCCAAAGGGGGCGGUGUUGCAAUCUACUGCAGAGAUAGCCUGCAGAGUUCUGUCCUACUAUCCAGGUCUGUACCCAAACAAUUUGAACUUCUACUUUUAAAAAUCCACCUCUCUAAAAACAAGUCUCUCACCGUUGCCGCCUGCUAUAGACCACCCUCUGCCCCCAGCUGUGCUCUGGACACCAUAUGUGAACUGAUUGCCCCCCAUCUAUCUUCAGAGCUCGUGCUGCUAGGUGACCUAAACUGGGACAUGCUUAACACCCCAGCCAUCCUACAAUCUAAGCUUGAUGCCCUCAAUCUCACACAAAAUAUGAAUGAACCUACUAGGUACCACCCCAAAGCCGUAAACAUGGACACCCUCAUAGAUAUCAUCCUAACCAACUCGCCCUCUAAAUACACCUCUGCUGUUUUCAACCAAGAUCUCAGUGAUCACUGCCUCAUUGCCUGCAUCCGUAAUGGGUCAGCGGUCAAACGACCUCCACUCAUCACUGUCAAACACUCCUUGAAACACUUCAGCGAGCAGGCCUUUCUAAUCGACCUGGCCCGUGUAUCCUGGAAGCAUAUUGACCUUAUCCCUUCAGUAGAGGGUGCCUGGUUAUUUGUUUUAAAUGCCUUCCUCACCAUCUUAAAUAAGCAUGCCCCAUUCAAGAAAUUUAGAACAAGGAACAGAUAUAGCCCUUGGUUCUCUCCAGACCUGACUGCCCUUAACCAACACAAAAACAUCAUGUGGCGUUCUGCAUUAGCAUCGAACAGCCCCUGUGAUAUGCAACUUUUCAGGGAAGUUAGAAACCAAUAUAGACACACUGUUAGAAAAGCCAAGGCUAGCUUUUUCAAGCAGAAAUUUGCUUCCUGCAACACAAACUCAAAAAAGUUCUGGGACACUGUAAAGUCCUUGGAGAAUAAGAGCACCUCCUUCCAGCUGCCCACUGCACUGAGGAUAGGAAACUCUGUCACCACCGAUAAAUCCACUACAAUUGAGAAUUUCAAUAAGCAUUUUUAUACGGCUGGCCAUGCUUUCCACCUGGCUACCCCUACUCCGGUCAACAGCACUGCACCCCCCACAGCAACUCGCCCAAGCCUUCCCCAAUUCUCCUUCUCCCAAAUCCAGUCAGCUGAUGUUCUGAAAGAGCGGCAAAAUCUGGACCCCUACAAAUCAGCUGGGCUAGACAAUCUGGACCCUUUCUUUCUAAAAUGA